GGCCCUAUAGCUCAGUGGUUUAGAGCAUACGAUUGCAGUGGGGUAACUAUCGUGUGGUCCCGUGUUCGAAUCACGGUGGGGCCU